AGUGAACGCUGGCGGUAGGCCUAACACAUGCAAGUCGAACGGCAGCACAGUAAGAGCUUGCUCUUACGGGUGGCGAGUGGCGGACGGGUGAGGAAUACAUCGGAAUCUACUUUUUCGUGGGGGAUAACGUAGGGAAACUUACGCUAAUACCGCAUACGACCUACGGGUGAAAGCAGGGGAUCUUCGGACCUUGCGCGAUUGAAUGAGCCGAUGUCGGAUUAGCUAGUUGGCUGGGUAAAGGCCCACCAAGGCGACGAUGCGUAGCUGGUCUGAGAGGAUGAUCAGCCACACUGGAACUGAGACACGGUCCAGACUCCUACGGGAGGCAGCAGUGGGGAAUCUUGGACAAUGGGCGAAAGCCUGAUCCAGCAAUGCCGCGUGGGUGAAGAAGGCCUUCGGGUUGUAAAGCCCUUUUGUUGGGGAAGAAAAGCAGCAGGUUAAUCCCUGGCUGUUCUGACGGUACCCAAAGAAUAAGCACCGGCUAACUUCGUG
rnacentral:rRNA from 1 species